GCUAAGAAAACUCAAUCUGAAUGAUACAGGAUCUGUGUGUUAAAAAUCUACCACUAUGAUUGUGGGCAAAGUACCUUAUCCUAAUUUACUACAUAUUUCGGGCAGCUAACACAAGCAACUUCUGGCAAAAAGACUAGUGUCUUCAUGAGAGGAAGAGACAACAGAGACAGCUCUCUCUCCACAUAUGCCCAGAGAAGAAGCCAUACGAAGACACAGUAAAAAGAACCCAAGUCAGGAAGAGUGGCCUCAGCAGAAACCAAUUCUGAUGGCAUCUAGGUCAUGGACUUCUAGAUCCUGGAAUUGUGAGAAAACAAAUUUCUGUUGUUUAAGGCAUCCAGGCCAUGGUAUUUUGUUAUGGUUGUCCAAACAGACUAACAUGUACACUUUUUCCAGGUCUGGCUAGACCAAGAUGUUUGUAAAUCCUGUGAAAGUGUAUGAAGAAUUCAGUACCUACUUCUGAAGAAAGGCUCCAUAGUGUCUAACAAAUACCUGUAAUGAGAUGUCUCAGCAAAACAGGUCAAGAAAUCCCUGGGAGAUAAGACUGUAUUUUCCUGCUUUAUUUAAUUAUGAGCAUUCUAAAAGUAUUAUUUCUAUGACUUUUUAAUUGCAGACAUCCAUUGUGAAUUUUUAUGAACUGGCAGCAGCGUAGCUGCCACUUACAGUAAUAGUAAUGGUUACUUAUAACACUACUUUUCAUGAAAAGAUCAUUAUAAUUUUAAGCCACAUUCUCUACGGACAUUAGGGAGUUCAACGUUUUUCCAUGUCUGGACUUCCUGUGGUAGUAUGUUAGUAAGAUUUUAUAUUGGAAAUAUCUUGUAAAUAAGGAUAUGAUGACAAAAAACUAUUAUUCAAAAUAUAACUACUAAAUAUAAGCCCUGAGUAUUCAGAGAUUGAACCAUAUCCUCUAUAGAAUAUGAAAGAUCUUAAUGUAUCCUGCGACUGAGCAUCUCAG